UACAGAGGGUGCGAGCGUUAAUCGGAGUUACUGGGCGUAAAGAGCGCGCAGGCGGUCGUUCAAGUCGCGUGUGAAAGCCCCCGGCUCAACUGGGGAGGGUCACGCGAUACUGAUCGACUCGAAGGCAGGAGAGGGAAGUGGAAUUCCCGGUGUAGUGGUGAAAUGCGUAGAUAUCGGGAGGAACACCAGUGGCGAAGGCGACUUCCUGGCCUGUUCUUGACGCUGAGGCGCGAAAGCUAGGGGAGCAAACGGG
rnacentral:rRNA from 1 species